UACGGAGGGUGCAAGCGUUAUCCGGAUUCACUGGGUUUAAAGGGUGCGUAGGCGGAAUGAUAAGUCUGUCGUGAAAGCCCUGGGCUCAACCUGGGAAUGGCGGUGGAUACUGGUGGGCUCGAGUACGGUAGAGGGUGGUGGAAUUCCCGGUGUAGCGGUGAAAUGCGUAGAGAUCGGGAGGAACAUCAGUGGCGAAGGCGGCCACCUGGACCAGUACUGACACUGAGACACGAAAGCGUGGGGAGCAAACAGG
rnacentral:rRNA from 1 species